UUAACAACAAGAGAAGUGCUCAUUUAGACAAAUUUUAGUUAUUUUGCAAUUGAUAGUGUGGUGACUUUCAAAAUUGAACAUGAAAGGGUUGAAGAUAACCAUGUUGUAAAUCAGUAUUCGAGAUGAUGCCGGCAAUCCGUGCCAGAGACAUGAGACUCAAGGCUCUAAAAUAUACCAGUGAACAGCACUGGUGUCACUGGAACUAACUUUUCUGUGGAACUAAAAUUGACAUUGGACUGAACUGACGUCAGUAUUGAUCAAGAAGCAAAGAAC